rnacentral:rRNA from 1 species
GCCUAAUACUGCAAGUCGAGCGGACAGAUGGGAGCUUGCUCCCUGAUGUUAGCGGCGGACGGGUGAGUAACACGUGGGUAACCUGCCUGUAAGACUGGGAUAACUCCGGGAAACCGGGGCUAAUACCGGAUGCUUGUUUGAACCGCAUGGUUCAAACAUAAAAGGUGGCUUCGGCUACCACUUACAGAUGGACCCGCGGCGCAUUAGCUAGUUGGUGAGGUAAUGGCUCACCAAGGCGACGAUGCGUAGCCGACCUGAGAGGGUGAUCGGCCACACUGGGACUGAGACACGGCCCAGACUCCUACGGGAGGCAGCAGUAGGGAAUCUUCCGCAAUGGACGAAAGUCUGACGGAGCAACGCCGCGUGAGUGAUGAAGGUUUUCGGAUCGUAAAGCUCUGUUGUUAGGGAAGAACAAGUACCGUUCGAAUAGGGCGGUACCUUGACGGUACCUAACCAGAAAGCCACGGCUAACUACGUGCCAGCAGCCGCGGUAAUACGUAGGUGGCAAGCGUUGUCCGGAAUUAUUGGGCGUAAAGGGCUCGCAGGCGGUUUCUUAAGUCUGAUGUGAAAGCCCCCGGCUCAACCGGGGAGGGUCAUUGGAAACUGGGGAACUUGAGUGCAGAAGAGGAGAGUGGAAUUCCACGUGUAGCGGUGAAAUGCGUAAAGAUGUGGAGGAACACCAGUGGCGAAGGCGACUCUCUGGUCUGUAACUGACGCUGAGGAGCGAAAGCGUGGGGAGCGAACAGGAUUAGAUACCCUGGUAGUCCACGCCGUACACGAUGAGUGCUAAGUGUUAGGGGGUUUCCGCCCCUUAGUGCUGCAGCUAACGCAUUAAGCACUCCGCCUGGGGAGUACGGUCGCAAGACUGAAACUCACAGGAAUUGACGAGCGCCCGCACAACCGGUGGAGCAUGUGGUUUAUUUCGAAGCAACGCGAAGAACCUUACCAGGUCGUGACAUCCUCUGACAAUCCUAGAGAUAGGACGUCCCCU